GACGGUUCAGACCAAUCCACUAGAAGUACAGUAUUCCUUUUGAAGGCUUACAGUGAAAUUCUUAGGCUUCUGUAAACAUGAAAAGUAUUCACUGUUCCAUGCAAUUGUUUGUGGUGGUUACAUUUUAGAAAGUGCAAAUUUUCUAAAAGUUAAGCGUAAGAAUUUUCAUUUUUAUUUGGUCUCAAAGAAGAAAGUGGUUGGUAGUACUGGAAAUGGUAGGCCUUUGUCUAUGGUCUGUUUCCCUGUACUUUGCUUCUCAACAUUUCUGAAAAGAGUUUCUACAUAAAACAAGACCUAACUUGAUAUUCAGGCCAGUUCACUGCUUCUUCUCUAAAAAGGUCGCAAUUCAUGCCUAAACACACAAUGGCAGACAUCUCCCUCUUUGUAUUAGGAAGAGUCCAAGAGCUAAGUCCAUUGGCCAUAAAAACCUUUAAUAAUAAGUUUCUUUAAUUUUUUCCUCCAUUAUAGCUGCUAAAUGAUCCCCCUGUUGCCUUUCUUACUGAUGUAUUGGAGAGAAAAUUAAUUUAUGAUUCAAGGCUGAUUGAUAUUUAAUCUCUAAUGUUCCCAGUGAUUUUUACAACCGGGGAAAGAAAGUGGAGAGUUCGUUACUCAUUUUUUUUUUUAUCCCUCUCCCUUUCCUGCCUUUUACCCUCCCCCCCAAAAUAAUAAAGAUGCUAUAAAGUUGAGGCACAAGUGGUUAGGGGUGAACUUGAUCAGUUCUAGCAGCUGGUUCUUGGAUAUGUCCUGGUGGGAGAGGCUGAUCACCUCCUGCAGGAUGUUUCGGUGCUUCUUCAAUUUUGUGCUCGCCAGGGGGCUGGAAUUUCAGUUCUCCAGCUGGUCCUGCAGGUGGAUUUGCUUGCUGUAGUUUCUUUUGCUCCAUCUGUUUUACAACCUGCUGAAGCUCUUGUUUCUGAGCCUGAAGCUGGUCAUGCUGCCUCUGUAGCUCCUCCUUCUGUUUCUGAAGUUCUUCUGCCUUCUUUCUGAGUUCAUCUUCCUGCUGAGAAAUAUGACUUUCAAAUUCCUUCAGUUCAUCCUCAGUGAACAGCUGCUGUUGAUCUAGGGUCUCCCAGCUAUCUGGCUCCAAAAAUUCUUUUUUUUCUGUAGCUCGCAGGAACUCUUCCAGAGUUACUAGUCUGUCCUUGUUGAUGUCAACCUCAUUCAUUACAUGUUCUCUCAUUCUCAGCCUCUCUUCUUCCAUUUCAACCAUGUCAUCCUCUUCAUUUUUCGGGUCAUAAACUUUUUCUAGCUCUUUUGUAAAUAGAGCUUCCAACUCUUGCUCAUCCAGAAAACGAUCAUUAUUGACAUCAUGUAAUUUGAAGAAUGUUUUGGGGUCAAACUCAUUUGGAUCUAGCCCAUCUGCUUCUUCCCACACCUCUUUCAAUUGAUCUUUGCUUCCAGGAUGGUGAACUUUAGGGUGAUCUCCAUGUUUCUUUUUCAUCUCUUCAAAUUUGGAUUCUUCACGCUGUCUCUUUUCUUCAUCCAAUGUUUUUAAAUACUCUCUCCUCUCGUGUUCUUUCAUCAUUUCGUAUUUCUUAAACUCCUCAUGGCGGGUUUUAUCAUAAUUCUCCAGGUCACUUGUAGCUGCUUUGAUCAACAUAUCUAAGUCCUUAGGCUCAAAUGUGUCAGGAUUCUGAUGGUUCAGGUGCUCAAACUGUUUAAGGAGAGCCUGAUGGUCUAUGCCAGUAUCUUGAACAGAAUCCAUUUUGGCCUUAAUUAACAUUCUUAAUCUUGCCACCUCUUGCCGUUUGAGUUCAUCCAGUCGUGUUCUCACAUGGUGGCUUACUAAGUCAAGCUCUCUGCUUAGUUUUCCACUCUUUAUUUCUUCUAUGUCAGCAGUCUGGAGUUUCUCCCUGAAAUGCUUAUCUGUUUCCAAGACAUCAAUUACUUGCCUGAGAUAUUCAUCAUAAUAAAGCCCUGUAUCCGGAUUUUCUAUCUUCUCUCCUUCUACGUGACCUUCUCCUUUGACUUUUGUCUUAUCUAUGUCUAUAGGCACAGCUU
rnacentral:lncRNA from 1 species